AUGGAUUUUAUCACGGGAUUGCCCAGGACUCGUUCAGGCUAUGACUCAAUAUGGGUUGUAGUCGAUCGUUUGACGAAAGUACCUCAUUUCAUCCCAGUGAACACCACUUACACCAGUGCUAAGUUGGCAAAGAUAUACAUGACCAGAAUCGUAUGUUUGCAUGGAGUUCCGAGGACCAUUGUAUCAGAUAGAGGAACCCAGUUUACCUCGAAGUUUUGGAAUCAGUUACAUGAAACCUUGGGAACCAGGCUAGAAUUCAGUACAGCCUUUCACCCACAGACAGAUGGACAGACCGAGAGAGUCAAUCAGAUUUUGGAAGAUAUG
rnacentral:rRNA from 1 species